UCAAGCGAAUAAGAGCUUACGGCGGAUACCUUGGCAUUCAGAAGCGAUGAAGGGCGUGACUACCGACGAAACGCUCCGGGGAGCUGGAAGUAAGCUUCGAUCCGGAGGUUCCCGAAUGAGGAAACUCUAUAUACUACUUGCUGAAUUUAUAGGCAAGAAAGAGCAAACCUGGCGAAUUGAAACAUCUUAGUAGCCAGAGGAAAAGAAAGCAAAAGCGAUUCCCUUAGUAGCGGCGAGCGAAGUGGGAACAGCCUAAACCAACUAGAUACGUCUAGUUGGGGUUGUGGGACAGCAAUAACUAAGAUUAACAAGAGUUAAAAGAAUUAGUUGGAAUACUAAGCCAUAGAUGGUGAAAGCCCAGUAUUUGAAAACUUGAAUUACUUAAGCUGUAUCCCAAGUAGCAUGGGGCACGUGAAAUCCCGUGUGAAUCAGCGAGGACCACCUCGUAAGGCUAAAUAUUCCUGAAUGACCGAUAGUGAAAUAGUACCGUGAGGGAAAGGUGAAAAGAACCCCGGGAGGGGAGUGAAAUAGAACAUGAACCCGUAAGCUUACAAGCAGAGGGAGGUCGACUAAUCGUCUAACCUCGUGCAUGUUGAAGAAUGAGCCGGCGACUUAUAGGUAGUGGCAGGUUAAAGUAAAGAAUACUGAAGCCAAAGUGAAAGCGAGCUUAAAUAGAGCGUUAGUCACUAUUUAUAGACCCGAACCCGGAUGAUCUAGCCAUGGCCAGGGUGAAGCUUAGGUAACACUAAGUGGAGGUCCGAACCGACUGAUGUUGAAAAAUCAGCGGAUGAGUUGUGGCUAGGGGUGAAAUGCCAAUCGAAUCCGGAGCUAGCUGGUUCUCCCCGAAAUGUGUUGAGGCGCAGCGGUUGAUGCUUAAUCUUGGGGGUAAAGCACUGUUUCGGUGCGGGCUGCGAGAGCGGUACCAAAUCGAGGCAAACUCUGAAUACCAAGUGUGUAGUCAACCAGUGAGACAGUGGGGGAUAAGCUUCAUUGUCAAGAGGGAAACAGCCCAGACCACCAGCUAAGGCCCCUAAAUAAUUGCUAAGUGGCAAAGGAGGUGGGAAUGCAUAGACAACCAGGAGGUUUGCUUAGAAGCAGCAACCCUUUAAAGAGUGCGUAAUAGCUCACUGGUCAAGUGAUCCUGCGCCGAAAAUGAAUGGGACUAAGUAAUUUGCCGAAGCUGUGGGAUGUUUAUGCAUCGGUAGGGGAGCGUUCUGUAUUAGUUUGAAGCAUUAGCGAAAGCGGGUGUGGACAAAACAGAAGUGAGAAUGUCGGCUUAAGUAGCGAAAACAUUGGUGAGAAUCCAAUGCCCCGAAAACCUAAGGAUUCCUCCGGAAGGUUCGUCCGCGGAGGGUGAGUCAGGACCUAAGGCGAGGCUGAAAAGCGUAGUCGAUGGACAACAGGUUAAUAUUCCUGUACCAUUUAUUAUUGAUAUCGAGGGACGGAGAAGGCUAAGCUAGCCGGAUGUUGGUUACCGGUUUAAGUAUUAAAGGUGUAGAUGAAUAGUGAAAAUAUUCUGAGCUAAGAUACAAGUACAAAGUGCUAAGGCACUAAAGUAGCUGACGUCAUACUUCCUAGAAAAGCUCGGAAUAUCUUAAAUACUAAAUGCCUGUACCCUAAACCGACACAGGUAGGUAAGUAGAGUAUACUAAGGGGCGCGAGAUAACUCUCUCUAAGGAACUCGGCAAAAUAGCCCCGUAACUUCGGGAGAAGGGGUACCCUUCAAAAGGGUUGCAACAAUCAGGCCCAAGCGACUGUUUAUCAAAAACACAGGUCUCCGCUAAGUCGUAAGACAAUGUAUGGGGGCUGACGCCUGCCCAGUGCCGGAAGGUUAAGGAAGCUGGUUAGCUUUAAAGCGAAGCUAGUAACUGAAGCCCCGGUGAACGGCGGCCGUAACUAUAACGGUCCUAAGGUAGCGAAAUUCCUUGUCGGGUAAGUUCCGACCCGCACGAAAGGCGUAACGAUUUGGGCACUGUCUCGGAGAGAGACUCGGCGAAAUAGACUUGUCUGUGAAGAUGCGGACUACCUGCACCUGGACAGAAAGACCCUAUGG
rnacentral:rRNA from 1 species